CCUACGGGCGGCAGCAGUGGGGAAUAUUGGACAAUGGGGGGAACCCUGAUCCAGCCAUGCCGCGUGUGUGAAGAAGGCCCUCGGGUUGUAAAGCACUUUCAGUGAGGAAGAACGCCUGGUGGUUAAUACCCAUCAGGAAAGACAUCACUCACAGAAGAAGCACCGGCUAACUCCGUGCCAGCAGCCGCGGUAAUACGGAGGGUGCGAGCGUUAAUCGGAAUUACUGGGCGUAAAGCGCGCGUAGGUGGCUUGAUAAGCCGGUUGUGAAAGCCCCGGGCUCAACCUGGGAACGGCAUCCGGAACUGUCGAGCUCGAGUGCGGGAGAGGAAGGUAGAAUUCCCGGUGUAGCGGUGAAAUGCGUAGAGAUCGGGAGGAAUACCAGUGGCGAAGGCGGCCUUCUGGACUGACACUGACACUGAGGUGCGAAAGCGUGGGUAGCAAACAGGAUUAGAUACCCCGGUAGUC
rnacentral:rRNA from 1 species